rnacentral:rRNA from 1 species
CCUACGGGGGGCAGCAGUGGGGAAUAUUGGACAAUGGGGGCAACCCUGAUCCAGCCAUGCCGCGUGUGUGAAGAAGGCCCUCGGGUUGUAAAGCACUUUCAGUGAGGAAGAACGCCUGGUGGUUAAUACCCAUCAGGAAAGACAUCACUCACAGAAGAAGCACCGGCUAACUCCGUGCCAGCAGCCGCGGUAAUACGGAGGGUGCGAGCGUUAAUCGGAAUUACUGGGCGUAAAGCGCGCGUAGGUGGCUUGAUAAGCCGGUUGUGAAAGCCCCGGGCUCAACCUGGGAACGGCAUCCGGAACUGUCAAGCUAGAGUGCAGGAGAGGAAGGUAGAAUUCCCGGUGUAGCGGUGAAAUGCGUAGAGAUCGGGAGGAAUACCAGUGGCGAAGGCGGUCUUCUGGACUGACACUGACACUGAGGUGCGAAAGCGUGGGUAGCAAACAGGAUUAGAUACCCCGGUAGUC